CUGAAAGUUGGAACAUUUUAUUAAAUACAGACAGACUCGGAUCACCAGAGCUGUUGUAAACAGGGACUGUGAGGUUCCUUUUAGAAAGCCAUAAUGCACUAUCUAUUAAAGGUAGUGCAUUAUGGAACACAGUACCCCCAACUAUAAGGGAAUGUCCCACUCUGGCCACCUUUAAGAGCCAGGUAAAGGUGUGGCUCAGAGC